CCAAAGCAAUUUCAUUUCCCUCUCGUAUCUUCUUCUUAUUCUUCCUCUAUGCUUAAUCGUUUCAUCACCUUGAAAGCCGAGGAGAAGAAGAAGCCGAAGGAGCGUCGUCCGUUCUUGGCUUCAGAAUGCAGAGACUUAGCCGAGGCUCAUAAGUGGGGCCAGCAGAUCAUGCGCGAGAUCGGUCGCAAGGUUGCUGAGAUUCAGAACGAGGGCCUCGAUGUGCAUCGCCUCCGGGACCUCAAUGACGAGAUUAACAAGCUUAUACGGGAGAAGUCCCACCGGGAGCGCCGUAUCGUGUUGCUCGGUGGCCCCAAUUAGGCUAAGCACUCCGCAAAGAUGAAUGACCUAGACGGCAAUAUUGUGGACGAUUCAAACCCUAGCCGCCGUGGCCCUGGCUACCGGUAUUUUGGCAGAGGCGGUGGCAGACUGCGGAGGAUAAAAUGAGGGCAGAGGGUUCUGGAGAGGGUGGACAAGACUUCACUUGGCAUUGGUUGUCACAGCAGUAGUAUGCUGCUGGAUGAUGAAGUAUCUUUAUGGUGGCAGGGGACUCGGGGCUGGGCUCAACGGCAACGACUGGUGGCUCGAGGGCUGGGCUCGACAGCGGUAUGGGGGGUCUUGGGUCUGGGCUCGACGCCGUAGGGCCUGGGCAUUUUCUCAGUCCAUUCCCUCUCUCAGUUAGUCAGGGAUGAUUUUAGAAAGAAAUUUAGUCAGUCAAUUCUUACUUUGAAAAUACUAUUGGUGACGAGGGUGAGUACAAGGACGAGAAGAAGAAAUCUAUGUUCUUUGACAAUGAAUUUAGUAUUUUAUUUUAUUUGUAAUUUUUAUUAGAGUAAAUGAUUCUUUUUUGAGUAGUUAAUUAUUUACUUUGUAAAUCUAGUCAUAUUUUUUUUAAGGUCAAGACGAUUAUGUUUAUAGACAAGCCUAUAUGAUUUUUGAGUAAGUAGUGUUAUAUUUGUCAAAAAUUUGUUUUAUUAGAUUUGUAAAUACUUUGUGUAAGUUUUGUUAUUUUAAUCUAUAAUUUUUUAGAUUUGUAUAUAAA